CUCUGCCGAAAACAAAACCAACAAAAAUCCAAAUUUGCAGAAAUUUUCGCAAAUUAAGCUUGCGAGAAAGAAGAAGAAAAACGAGUUUUGCGAGAAUAACUUCCGCAAAUUCUUAGAAGAUCAAAAGUUCUAGCGAAAACCACCACUAAACUUCUAGUUCGGUCCAGUUGGAAAAUCUACAUCAAUUGAGCUGCGGCCAGAAAGCACAACACUCUGGCCCGAGGAAACCAACCCUGCUUUUUUUUGGAGCACCAAA